rnacentral:sRNA from 2 species
GCUUGCGGAAGGUAAUGUCAUCGGUGAUAGACAGGUUCAUCGUCCGCCCCGUGCGUUAGAGCCUAUCCCCGUAGGCGUAAUUGUUGAAGCCAGUUUGGGGCCGGACAGCGCGCAGAAACCGGAGCGUACACAUAGUACGUGAGGAUUUCGAGCACUGCCCGGCCCUAAAAUGGCGAAU